UCCUUUCUUCCCCCUUUCCCAUUUCCUCUGUGGCACUGAAGUUGAAUCACAAUGGGAAAUGAAAGCAGUUCCACGGGUGAUCAGCCAAAGGCAUCUGAUUCGGACAUAAUAACCUCAUUACCAUCAAAUCAAGAGACUGCACAGAGUUCUCAUAUUUCUGAAGUUUAUGAAGUGCAUGCAACCCAGCAUGAAGAAAU